GGUUCAGGAUGAACGCUAGCUACAGGCUUAACACAUGCAAGUCGAGGGGUAGCAGGGUAGCAAUACCGCUGACGACCGGCGCACGGGUGAGUAACACGUAUCCAACCUUCCCAUAACUCAGGGAUAGCCUUUCGAAAGAAAGAUUAAUACCUGAUAGUACUUUUUCAAGGCAUCUUGAAAAAGUUAAAGAUUUAUUGGUUAUGGAUGGGGAUGCGUUCCAUUAGAUAGUUGGUGAGGUAACGGCUCACCAAGUCUUCGAUGGAUAGGGGUUCUGAGAGGAAGGUCCCCCACAUUGGUACUGAGACACGGACCAAACUCCUACGGGAGGCAGCAGUGAGGAAUAUUGGUCAAUGGGCGAGAGCCUGAACCAGCCAAGUAGCGUGAAAAGGAUGAAGGUCCUAUGGAUUGUAAACUUCUUUUAUAGUAGAAUAAAGUGAGCCACGUGUGGUUUUUUGUAUGUAUACUAUGAAUAAGGAUCGGCUAACUCCGUGCCAGCCGCCGC
rnacentral:rRNA from 1 species